rnacentral:rRNA from 1 species
AUUGAACGCUGGCGGCAUGCCCUACACAUGCAAGUCGAACGGCAGCACGGGUGCUUGCACCUGGUGGCGAGUGGCGAACGGGUGAGUAAUACAUCGGAACGUACCUUAUCGUGGGGGAUAACGCAGCGAAAGUUGCGCUAAUACCGCAUACGCCCUGAGGGGGAAAGCGGGGGACCGUAAGGCCUCGCGCGAUUAGAGCGGCCGAUGUCUGAUUAGCUUGUUGGUGAGGUAAAAGCUCACCAAGGCGAUGAUCAGUAGCUGGUCUGAGAGGUCGAUCAGCCACACUGGGACUAAGACACGGCCCAGACUCCUACGGGAGGCAGCAGUGGGGAAUUUUGGACAAUGGGGGCAACCCUGAUCCAGCAAUGCCGCGUGAGUGAAGAAGGCCUUCGGGUUGUAAAGCUCUUUUGUCAGGGAAGAAACAGCAGCUCUAACACAGUCUGCGAAUGACGGUACCUGAAGAAUAAGCACCGGCUAACUACGUGCCAGCAGCCGCCGUAA